AUAGUUAGCCAUGCUCUGAAAACGUGUCCUCUGUAAUGUCUAUUUGACAGGUAAGCAGGCUAGUUAGACAUAUAGAAUUAGGAUGGUGAUUAAAUAUGAUGUGUAGGUGGGAUAUGGAUGCCUAUUAGAAAUACCCACGAAGGGACUUUCAUAUUUAUUUUGAUAACGUCAUAUCACUGGCUAACGUUAGCUAGAUUGCUAGCGAGUUGCUAACGUUAGCAUAGCCAUAGCUCCCGCGGUCUGAACCCAUUGUUCUGUAGCUUGGCUUUGACAUUGUCUGUAUGUGUGAUUAGUCUCCAUUUACUAUGUUUAGUGUCUCCACACUGUGUAAAUAUGAAGGUAGGCCUAUGUGUGUUGCUAUUGUGAUCCCCCCAUGUUCCGUAACGUUAUAUACUGUUUAGCUUUGCUAGCGGUAGGCUAGACUAAUGUGAAUUUAUGGAAGAAUAUAUUUGGUGCUCUUAUUGUGUAUAAAUUGGAGAUGAGUGUUGCCGUUCGUAUAGUGAGCCGUGCUCUGAAAACGUGUCCUCUGUAAUGUCUAUUUGACAGAUGGAGUAAAACAACAAAAACACCAGCCCUUGAUCUAUUGCCACUAUCCAGAUGAAAUGAGAAGAAAAGGCCACUUCUUCAGUUUGGCACUUGC